ACUCCUACGGGAGGCAGCAGUGGGGAAUUUUGGACAAUGGGCGAAAGCCUGAUCCAGCCAUGCCGCGUGCAGGAUGAAGGCCUUCGGGUUGUAAACUGCUUUUGUACGGAACGAAACGGCCUUUUCUAAUAAAGAGGGCUAAUGACGGUACCGUAAGAAUAAGCACCGGCUAACUACGUGCCAGCAGCCGCGGUAAUACGUAGGGUGCAAGCGUUAAUCGGAAUUACUGGGCGUAAAGCGUGCGCAGGCGGUUAUGUAAGACAGUUGUGAAAUCCCCGGGCUCAACCUGGGAACUGCAUCUGUGACUGCAUAGCUAGAGGACGGUAGAGGGGGAUGGAAUUCCGCGUGUAGCAGUGAAAUGCGUAGAUAUGCGGAGGAACACCGAUGGCGAAGGCAAUCCCCUGGACCUGUACUGACGCUCAUGCACGAAAGCGUGGGGAGCAAACAGGAUUAGAAACCCUAGUAGUCCCAUG
rnacentral:rRNA from 1 species